rnacentral:lncRNA from 1 species
AGAAUAAUAAGAAUAGUAAUAAUAAUAAUAUUAAUAGAGCUCAUAUUCCCUGGCAUAUUGUUGGGACAUGUAUUCUUCUAGCCGACCUGACUCUUCUCUACUGUACAGGGACUUCCAAUGCUCACAACUGGUCAUUUUUACUGGAGUCAAUUCAGGCUCAAGCGGAUGGCGGAGCUGCGGAGUCGGAGCUCCUCGUUGCCCUCUCCUGUCGGGCGAACGAGCAGAGAAUCCCAAAAGGUAAAGGUGACGAUCUGCGAGCGAACGCGCGGCGUUUGGUGACCCAGUUUGAAACGUUGCUCCGGGCACGUGGAGCGCGGGGCACGCACGGCUCGCCGGGCCUCGGAUUGCGACAGCGCUCCGGCAGCUCGGGCCCCCGUGAGCCGCGCUGACCCGCGAUUUCACCGUCCAAAGAACACACUCGGCAUUAGCGGGAUCAAGGGUCUCCCGAAGUGGCGCUAACCAGCUGUGUGUUUGCUUUGGGAGCGUUAGGACGGACCCCAGCGGACCGGCUCCCUGCGCCUGCGCUCCUCCCUCCCUUACGCACGCGGCUAGAUACUUUAGUAUAGAUCCCAGAGGAAAUUGCACAACAAAUAUUGUUCCAUUUAAAGAGGUGGGUAAUUUGGACUGUAUCUCACACACACACACACACACACACACACACACACACUGUCUGAACCGCUUGCCCCAUUCAGGGUCAUGGGGAGCCAGAGUCUAACCCAGCAACACAGGGUGUAACGCUGAGGGGACACACCCAGGGCGGGACGCCAGUCCAUUGCAAGGCACCCCAAGCGGGACUCAAACCCCAGACCCACCGGAGAGCAGGACCCGGUCCAACCCACUGCACCACCGCGCCCCUUCUUGUACUGUAUCACUUGUGGGUAAAUACCUCGAUCAAGGGUGCUGCAGCAGGAGGUGGGAUUCGAACCCGGAGCCGUAGAGUGGACGGGGGCAGCUCCGAGCACCGCGUUCCAGGUUAGGCACAUUGAAAGAGAUAAAUGCCGUUACUUGAGCUGCUGGAAUGAGAUCGAUGAAGACCUUUGACCGGAGUGUCUUCAGUGUGACGUUUUGCUGCGCUGUUACAAAACGACGCGAGUU